rnacentral:lncRNA from 12 species
CGCUUCUGUGCCUUUGUCUAAGAUUAAAGCAGGAUGUUAAUCAAAUAAAUUGUCAUAUCUGAAAUGUGUUCUUUCAAUAAAGUGAUAUAUCUGGAUUUAAGAAAUAUACUAGCAUAAUUCUCUGAGGUUAUGAUUUAAUUUUCCAGUAAUACACAAUAGAUAAUGUCACAAAUUAUUUUCCAAAUAUUACAGAGGAAAUCUAUCUUUUCUGUGACUGUGUUUUGCUUGAGGUAAGACUGAGAAACAAAUAAAUGUAGCAAAAUAUUGAAUAGCAUUUAAAUAUAUAUUUGUGGUGGUGAUGGGCCCUUUAUUAAAAUGAUUUUGGACACUACUCUCGUUCUGUCAUAAUUGAGCAUGGUUAACCUGAUUCAUAUUCAUACCUUUUUGGAUUUAAUAUUAUGACAUCUUAUGUUCAUUCCACAAGUUUAGUCAUGAAAACUGACAUUAAUGAUUUUUUUUUUUUUUUUUUUUUGGACUAUAAAACAUUUGCAAGGUGUUUUAGUUUCUUAGUUUCUUAAAAUGAUUAUAUACAAGUAACUGAUUGACACAACAGCAGGAUAUAUACGCAAAUGCCUAUAAGUGUGUUUAAUAUGACAUCUUUUUCAUUUUUGAAUGUCUUCAUGUCUCAGCAGUGAAUGACUGUCACAGUGAACCGCAGGGUUUGUGAGAAGCGGUGAAGUCAUGCAUACAGAUGGCAGUGCCGGUAUUGGUGGAAAUGAUGCUUCCUGAACUGUUGUAACAUUGGUCCCAGAGGACUGAGCCACAGUCCAAUAAGAUGUCAUGAAGACUAGACUGAGAGGAGUGCGCAUCAGAUCUCCCUCAAUUAAUCCACCAUUAGAUGCCUGAGAUUCAUGGCUCACUGCCUUUGCUUACUGCGUUGGAGCUCAAAUCUAAUUAGACUCUCUCUCUUUCUGUCUCUCAGCUUCUCUUUUUCCAUGUCCAUCCCUCCUUAGAUCGAAAGAUAGACGGAUCUUUCCUCACUGAGCCCUGUGGUUGGGUAUUUUAGGUGUUCCUCCCUCCCUCUCUCUCUCUUGUUCUCUCUCCUCUCUAUCUCUCUCUCAGUAUCUUAUCCUUACAGCUACAUACUCACUCCCAGUCUGUCCCUCUCUCCACUCCUGCUUUCCCUCCCACUCUCUCUCUGUAACUCCUUCGCUCCUCUCAUCCUCCUGUGACUUAGUUUGCUGUGCGCAACAACUGGCAGACCUCUCUCCUCAUCUCCGUUGUUUGGGAGGGGAUCCUGCACGUUUGGGCACAUGGUCUUACGGCGGUGACGGAUCCGCAGCACAACAACCUGAAGGAACAGAGGCACGGCAUCCUCAGCCUUCCCCGUCACUGCCGGAUCAAGGCAGCGGACAAAUGGGCGGCUUUGUGCUCAGCGGGUGCCGCUCUGUAGAGAUCUCUAGGAUUUGGCCUGGAUGUUUGCGAGCGCUUCUGCCCCCAGAGGCCGGACUAGACCGAGGACAGGACGUGAGGUCUGUGAGCACCCUAUCCCAGGUAAGAUGAUCCCCCUCACCAUCUGUCUUUCCACAUAACUAGUUAAACC